AGUCAACGUCGAGCGAACGGACGAGAAGCUUGCUUCUCUGAUGUUAGCGGCGGACGGGUGAGUAACACGUGGAUAACCUACCUAUAAGACUGGGAUAACUUCGGGAAACCGGAGCUAAUACCGGAUAAUAUUUUGAACCGCAUGGUUCAAAAGUGAAAGACGGUCUUGCUGUCACUUAUAGAUGGAUCCGCGCUGCAUUAGCUAGUUGGUAAGGUAACGGCUUACCAAGGCAACGAUGCAUAGCCGACCUGAGAGGGUGAUCGGCCACACUGGAACUGAGACACGGUCCAGACUCCUACGGGAGGCAGCAGUAGGGAAUCUUCCGCAAUGGGCGAAAGCCUGACGGAGCAACGCCGCGUGAGUGAUGAAGGUCUUCGGAUCGUAAAACUCUGUUAUUAGGGAAGAACAUAUGUGUAAGUAACUGUGCACAUCUUGACGGUACCUAAUCAGAAAGCCACGGCUAACUACGUGCCAGCAGCCGCGGUAAUACGUAGGUGGCAAGCGUUAUCCGGAAUUAUUGGGCGUAAAGCGCGCGUAGGCGGUUUUUUAAGUCUGAUGUGAAAGCCCACGGCUCAACCGUGGAGGGUCAUUGGAAACUGGAAAACUUGAGUGCAGAAGAGGAAAGUGGAAUUCCAUGUGUAGCGGUGAAAUGCGCAGAGAUAUGGAGGAACACCAGUGGCGAAGGCGACUUUCUGGUCUGUAACUGACGCUGAUGUGCGAAAGCGUGGGGAUCAAACAGGAUUAGAUACCCUGGUAGUCCACGCCGUAAACGAUGAGUGCUAAGUGUUAGGGGGUUUCCGCCCCUUAGUGCUGCAGCUAACGCAUUAAGCACUCCGCCUGGGGAGUACGACCGCAAGGUUGAAACUCAGAGGAAUUGACGGGGACCCGCACAAGCGGUGGAGCAUGUGGUUUAAUUUCGAAGCACGCGAAAAACCUUUACAAAUCUUGACAUCCUUUGACCACUCUAAAGAUAGAGCUUUCCCCUUCGGAGGACAAAGUGA
rnacentral:rRNA from 1 species